rnacentral:lncRNA from 1 species
GUAAAAUGACUAACUUUUAAUUGAGGACCAAUCAUUUUUGAGCUUUGCUUUGGAUUCAUUUGAUAUCAAAACCGUUUAAUUGUAGAUCAUCUCACAUAAAGAACUUCAAUAGUUUAAAAAAUUACGUUGAUUGGAUAUAGAUCAAUAGUCGAUCGAUGAAACAAAAUAUCUAAAAUUAUGUGUGUCACACGCUCAUUUAUUAAGUUACAUAUCAACAUUAAACGGGUACUGAUCAAUAUAAUUUUUUUAGUACUGAUCUUUAUAACAGAAUCUAUAAUAAUAUUAUUUUAGAUCAUCAGAAUGAGCUCAAAACGAGAUACAAAAUGCUUAAAUAUGCAAUCUAUUUUUGAACUUGAGAGGAUCAGGUCGUUAAUUAAUUAAGUAUGGUUGAAUGUUGUGCCCUGAUUAGUUCUAUAAUAAAAUCCCCACAAACCCUUUUUUUAAUUACAUAUAGUUCGUGUCACUCUCAUUCACCACAUAAUCUACUUUAUAAUAUAUGCUUAUAAUUAAUCCACCUAACGAAAUUACACCACACGACUAAUUAACCUCGGGAUCAGCAACUUUAAUCGCAUCAGCAAGGGUCGUUAUCAAUAGGAUACGUGCACGGCAUUUUUUAAUUUUUUUUUUAUUGAAAAAAUUACAAAUUAAACUUUGAAUUUUUAAUAUGAACAAAUUAAAUCCUAUUUUUUUUACACAUUAUAAUUUGAACCCUCCAUUAGUUUUUAUUUAUAUAAUUUGACGAUAAUAACUUGUUCAUGCAAAAAUGAGUUGUCAAUUGGUGUCGCAUGAAUUUGAAUUCUUUUAAAAACUCUAAUUGUCUUAAUUAAAAUCGGGGUGAAGUAAAAGAUGAAUUUCAAAUAAAAAUAAAGAAUAUGAAGUAUCUGAAACCUCCGAGUGGUCGGCCUAGUGGUCUAGGCUAAAUAUUUUGAGAUUUACUUCAUUUCAAGGUUUUAGGCUCGAAAUCUUCUAAUUGAUAUCAAUUUUUUGAAUGGGUCAGUCUAUACAAAGUUUUGUCUCGAGUUUCAUCGGAUUACUACUAGUAGACGAUGAGAAUUGAUAUCCCGAAUUAGUUAGCCAUUGGACUUGAUACCGAAUUAUAAAAAAAAUAAAAAGUUGCAAAGUAGUACAUUUUUUGUAGCACUAAGUACGGUUUGCGUGGACCGAAAGACCCGUUCACCCAUCUUUAUAUUAAAUACCUGAAUAAUUGAUCAUCAAAAAAUUCGAAUUUGAAAACUAGAGUUUCCCGGUCUUUUCCAUUCCACCCAACUCUACUCAUAUCGUUGUCCUAUAUUUUGUCAAGGAUUGAAAUCUCAGUCCAGUUAAGAAGCCGUGUCAAAUAUUAUCCACGGCAGCAUCACUGACUGACGUGGACUUGCCAACAACUUAAAACAUAAUCCCGUUUGAUUCCAAAACAGUUCGUGCUGUCGGCAACACCCCACCAAAAAAAGUAAAAUCAAGGGUACCCUACCCACGUGGCCUAAAUUAGGAGCUAUAUCCAAUCCCCUAAAAAUAAUUUUUAUUUUGACUUUUUUGAUUAUAAAAUAAAUAUCUAGGCCUCACGUGCACUUUGAUUACUACACAAGCCCAUGGCUAGGUUGGCUCGUGAAGCGAAAGCCAAUCGAAUUUUGGAUCUUCAUUCAUCUGGCAUCCACGACGUGGUAUUCUAGAUUCAUGGAAGGUCGUGAUUUGGGAUGAAUUAAAUUAUUUUGAAUCAUUUAUGUGUUAUUUUUUCGUCUUUCAACUAAAAUGUUUUAUAUUUUUGGUAGAUGUCGGUAAGAGAAAAGUACUGGGUGUGUACUAUUGGAAAAAAUCGAUUUUGAAGCAUGAAUUUCUUAGGAUUUUGAUACAAUAUAGACGCUCUAUCGUCUACUUUGUCAAAAUGACUUUUACAAUCUCCAAUUUGAAAAAAUACUUGGUUUUGGACCAUUUGUUCACCUCCAAAUGACUUGAAUUCUCGAAAUUACACAGCUCAAGUAGUUUUUCCACCACCCUCUAUUAAGGUAAACCAACAGGCUGCAAGUCCUUCAUCUCAAUACAAAAUUCUCGUUGCCUUUUUUUUUUUUUUUUUUAAAAAAAAAAAAUCUGUUUUUGGGGUACUUUCUUUUAUCUUUUCACUACAACUUUACUGUUUCGAUUCAUCUAUUUUAAAAAUUAGGAUUUAGUUUGAAUCCAAAAUUUAUUUCUUGCAAUCUACGGCUCAAAUUCAUUUGAGUUGAUCCAACGGCUUAGAUUUCACCUAAGAUUAUUUUUUUUUUGCUUAAAACUAUCACUUUCACUUUCUUUCUCAAUCAUAACUCUCACUCAAUCUCCUCCCAUCAUUUUCACAUUCAAUAUUUUUAUAUUUUUUUAUACCCAUUUAUUCUUUUUUUUUUACUUUUAUUUCUUAAUUAUAUAAUUUUUUUAUAUAUAAACUUUUUAUCACCCCUUGAUUUAUUUUUCUUUUAAUACCUUCUUAAUCUUUGUUUUUUUAUUUUAUUUUCAACUCUCUGAAUUUUUAUCU